CCCCUGAGCCGAUAUUUCAUACCACAAGAAUGUGGCGCUCCACGGUUGGUGAGCAUGCUCGGCCCGUCCGAGAAGCCUUAAAACUGUGACGACACAUUCACCUUGAACCAAGGGUUCAAGGG
rnacentral:sRNA from 1 species